rnacentral:rRNA from 1 species
UACAGAGGUGGCAAGCGUUGUUCGGAAUUACUGGGCGUAAAGGGCGCGUAGGCGGCCAUCUAAGUCAGACGUGAAAUCCCCCGGCUUAACCUGGGAACUGCGUCUGAUACUGGAAGGCUUGAGUUUGGGAGAGGGAUGCAGAAUUCCAGGUGUAGCGGUGAAAUGCGUAGAUAUCUGGAGGAAUACCGGUGGCGAAGGCAGCCCCCUGGGUCAAGAUUGACGCUCAUGCACGAAAGCGUGGGGAGCAAACAGG